rnacentral:rRNA from 1 species
CACGUAGGGUGCAAGCGUUGUCCGGAAUCAUUGGGCGUAAAGAGCGUGUAGGCGGCCAGGUAGGUCUGGUGUGAAAACUCGAGGCUUAACCUCGAGAUGUCAUCGGAAACCAUUUGGCUAGAGUCCGGAAGAGGAAAGUGGAAUUCCUGGUGUAGCGGUGAAAUGCGCAGAUAUCAGGAAGAACACCAAUGGCGAAAGCAGCUUUCUGGGACGGUACUGACGCUGAGACGCGAAAGCGUGGGGAGCGAACAGGAUUAGAUACCCUGGUAGUCCACGCCGUAAACGAUGGGCGCUAGGUGUGGGCGGUGUCGACUCCUCCUGUGCCGAGGCUAACGCAUUAAGCACCCCGCCUGGGGAGUACGGCCGCAAGGCUA